rnacentral:rRNA from 1 species
GACGUAGGGCACGAGCGUUGUCCGGAUUUAUUGGGCGUAAAGAGCUCGUAGGCGGCUUGUUGCGUCGACUGUGAAAACCCGCGGCUUAACUGCGGGCUUGCAGUUGAUACGGGCAGGCUAGAGUUCGGUAGGGGAGACUGGAAUUCCUGGUGUAGCGGUGAAAUGCGCAGAUAUCAGGAGGAACACCGGUGGCGAAGGCGGGUCUCUGGGCCGAUACUGACGCUGAGAAGCGAAAGCAUGGGGAGCGAACAGG